rnacentral:rRNA from 1 species
GAUGAACGCUAGCUACAGGCUUAACACAUGCAAGUCGAGGGGAAACGAUAUUGGAAGCUUGCUUCCGAUAGGCGUCGACCGGCGCACGGGUGAGUAACGCGUAUCCAACCUGCCCACCACUUGGGGAUAACCUUGCGAAAGUAAGACUAAUACCCAAUGACGUCCAUAGAAGACAUCUGAAAUGGAUUAAAGAUUUAUCGGUGAUGGAUGGGGAUGCAUCUGAUUAGCUUGUUGGCGGGGUACCGGCCCACCAAGGCGACGAUCAGUAGGGGUUCUGAGAGGAAGGUCCCCCACAUUGGAACUGAGACACGGUCCAAACUCCUACGGGAGGCAGCAGUGAGGAAUCUUGGUCAAUGGGCGAGAGCCUGAACCAGCCGAGUAGCGUGCAGGAUGACGGCCCUAUGGGUUGUAAACUGCUUUUAUAAGGGAAUAAAGUGAGCCUCGUGAGGCUUUUUGCAUGUACCUUAUGAAUAAGGACCGGCUAAUUCCGUGCCAGCCGCCGCCGUAA